AGAGUUUGAUCCUGGCUCAGGACGAACGCUGGCGGCGUGCCUAAUACAUGCAAGUAGGACGCACAGUUUAUACCGUAGCUUGCUACACCAUAGACUGUGAGUUGCGAACGGGUGAGUAACGCGUAGGUAACCUGCCUAUUAGAGGGGGAUAACUAUUGGAAACGAUAGCUAAUACCGCAUAACAGUAUGUAACACAUGUUAGAUGCUUGAAAGAUGCAAUUGCAUCGCUAGUAGAUGGACCUGCGUUGUAUUAGCUAGUAGGUAGGGUAAAGGCCUACCUAGGCAACGAUACAUAGCCGACCUGAGAGGGUGAUCGGCCACACUGGGACUGAGACACGGCCCAGACUCCUACGGGAGGCAGCAGUAGGGAAUCUUCGGCAAUGGGGGGAACCCUGACCGAGCAACGCCGCGUGAGUGAAGAAGGUUUUCGGAUCGUAAAGCUCUGUUGUUAAGGAAGAACGAGUGUGAGAAUGGAAAGUUCAUACUGUGACGGUACUUAACCAGAAAGGGACGGCUAACUACGUGCCAGCAGCCGCGGUAAUACGUAGGUCCCGAGCGUUGUCCGGAUUUAUUGGGCGUAAAGCGAGCGCAGGCGGUUAGAAAAGUCUGAAGUGAAAGGCAGUGGCUCAACCAUUGUAGGCUUUGGAAACUGUUUAACUUGAGUGCAGAAGGGGAGAGUGGAAUUCCAUGUGUAGCGGUGAAAUGCGUAGAUAUAUGGAGGAACACCGGUGGCGAAAGCGGCUCUCUGGUCUGUAACUGACGCUGAGGCUCGAAAGCGUGGGGAGCGAACAGGAUUAGAUACCCUGGUAGUCCACGCCGUAAACGAUGAGUGCUAGGUGUUAGGUCCUUUCCGGGACUUAGUGCCGUAGCUAACGCAUUAAGCACUCCGCCUGGGGAGUACGACCGCAAGGUUGAAACUCAAAGGAAUUGACGGGGGCCCGCACAAGCGGUGGAGCAU
rnacentral:rRNA from 1 species